rnacentral:rRNA from 1 species
UACGUAGGGGGCAAGCGUUGUCCGGAAUCAUUGGGCGUAAAGGGCGUGUAGGCGGUCCGUUAAGUCCGCUCUGAAAGCCCGGGGCUCAACCCCGGGAGGCGGGCGGAUACUGUCGGGCUAGAGUCCGGAAGAGGCAAGUGGAAUUCCUGGUGUAGCGGUGAAAUGCGCAGAUAUCAGGAGGAACACCAGUGGCGAAGGCGAGUCUCUGGGAUGAUGCUGACGCUGAUGCGCGAAAGCCAGGGGAGCAAACGGG